CUGGAAACGGUAGCUAAUACCGCAUAACGUCGCAAGACCAAAGAGGGGGACCUUCGGGCCUCUUGCCAUCAGAUGUGCCCAGAUGGGAUUAGCUAGUAGGUGGGGUAACGGCUCACCUAGGCGACGAUCCCUAGCUGGUCUGAGAGGAUGACCAGCCACACUGGAACUGAGACACGGUCCAGACUCCUACGGGAGGCAGCAGUGGGGAAUAUUGCACAAUGGGCGCAAGCCUGAUGCAGCCAUGCCGCGUGUAUGAAGAAGGCCUUCGGGUUGUAAAGUACUUUCAGCGGGGAGGAAGGCGAUGAGGUUAAUAACCUCGUCGAUUGACGUUACCCGCAGAAGAAGCACCGGCUAACUCCGUGCCAGCAGCCGCGGUAAUACGGAGGGUGCAAGCGUUAAUCGGAAUUACUGGGCGUAAAGCGCACGCAGGCGGUCUGUCAAGUCGGAUGUGAAAUCCCCGGGCUCAACCUGGGAACUGCAUUCGAAACUGGCAGGCUAGAGUCUUGUAGAGGGGGGUAGAAUUCCAGGUGUAGCGGUGAAAUGCGUAGAGAUCUGGAGGAAUACCGGUGGCGAAGGCGGCCCCCUGGACAAAGACUGACGCUCAGGU
rnacentral:rRNA from 1 species